CUUCAUUUUCCACUCAGUUCCUCCGGCCAAAAAACCUUGGGAUCAUCUUUGACUCCUGUCUCUCUCUCUCUUUCAUAAUCUCAAGCUCUCUUUCUCUCCACCCCACCCUUACCCCCCAUUUACCAUCAGCAAAUACUGUUGGUUCUACUUCCAAAAUAUACCAGCAGUUUGACCCCUUCUCCACCUGAACUGCCCACCUGUAUGAGUGCAUCAGCCUCCUCAUGGUUCUCCUGCUUCCCCCUCGGCCCCCUGGAAUCCAUUCUCUAUGCAGCAGCCAGAGUGACCCUGUUAGAACUUAGGCCAGAUCCUGCACUUCUCUGCCCAAAACCCAGCAAUGGCUCCCAGUUCAUUCAGGGUCAAAGCAGAGUCCUGCCUGGGGCCCCCGCUUGCUCCCUCUCUGCCCUCAGCUCCUGCCACCCCCCAUCUUGCCCACUGACCUCCAUCAUACCAUGUGUAUUCCCACCUCAGGACCUUUGCACUUGCUCUUCCUUCUCCCCAGUAUCUACUUCCUUCUGGUAUUUACAUCGAUCCAAUGUCACCUGCUCAGAGAGACUUUCCCUUACCUCCCCGCCCCAUCCUCUCCCCACUGGGUUGUUCUUUCCCUGCUCUGUUGCUCCUCAGCAACUAUUCCCAUGUGACCUUAUGUUAUACAUGUAUGUGUCUGUUACUAGAACGUAACCCGCACUAGGGCAGAGCCCUGCCUGUCUUCUCACUGCUGUAUCCCUGAUGCUCAAUAAACGUUUGUUGAAUGAAAAGCUAGAUGGAUGGAUUCCAUGAAGGGACAGCAAGUACUAAACACCUGGUCUGUAUCAGGUUCUGUGCUGGGUGCUGAGGCGACACAUGUGAACAGGACCUCCUGUGCCACCCACAGAGCCCUAGUCUGAGGAGGGAGACAGACGCCAAGCCAGAAAUCACGAAGCAGGUGGAAUGGGGUGGUGUCCGGGAAUGAGCUCAGAGGAGGAAUUGGUCCAGUCGGUCCGAGGGAGCUUCCUGAAGGAGGGGGCAUACUCAGAGCCACCUGGGAGCUCAGUUUUCCCAUCAGUGGACUCCUGACUAUGUGCCUUUUCUGCUGCGUGUCCUGCCUCACAGAGAGGUCACUCCCUCAGGGAGCAGCGAGGCAGGGAAGACAAUGAAAGGGGCAGCCUGGCUGUCCCCAACGGAGGCCAGCCCUGGAGCAUGCCUGGUUCUCCACUUGAGGGGCCACCCAACUUUGGCCUCACACUCGGCUGAGCACCACAGCCCUGAGACAGGCCUGCGAAGCUGGAGAAGCCAAGGCUCAGAGCAGAGAGGUGACUGGCAGCCACAUUACCACAUAGCUGGUAAGUGGCAGACAAGGGACUUGAAUCCAGACCUACCUGUCCCCACUCCCUGCUGUCCUUUCGUGAGACUGAGCCACCUGUGGGUGGGUCAGGUCUCGGGGAGCCAGGAUCGCACAGGUCCAUCGCACAGGUGUGAUGAACCUGCUCAUGCCAGGCUCUGAGAUUGAGUCCCAUGCCCCCACCGCAGGGCUGCCGUGAUCAAGGCCACUUCCUCCUUUGGGGGAGGUGAGUCAGGCCUCUGGAAACCCGCUAAGCCUCUCCCCUUGGCUGGAACUUCUCUGAAGACUCUGGAAGCUCCUGGAAUAUUCCAGGUUUAUUGACUCCCUGGAGCCUCCCAACCACCCCUCAAACAGGGGCUGUCGUUAUCCCCAUUUGACAGGUCGGGAGACUGAGGCUCGGAGAGGAGCAGUUACCCAGGGGAGACACACAGGUUAAAUGGGGAGGUCCUGCUGGGUUCAUUCUCUGAGGCUGCUUUAGGGACAGAGGGCCUAGGCCGUGUACAGCUGAGAGCUGGUGCUGGGGCCUAAAGCGGGAGUUUCACGGGGCUAAUUUCAGCCUACACUAAGAACUUUCUUCCAGGUAUGCCCAAGAUGGACACUUUGCAGGAGUUUCAACAACCUCUGCAAGUGGAGGGAGGGGAGAUUAAAGUCGUGUUGGAUUGAGCAGUCCAAGUUUCUUUGACCUCUCCAAGCUUCAGUCUCCUUAUCUGUGAAAUGGGGAUAUUAAUACCUAGCUGUCAGAGGCAUUAGGAGUCAAGGAGCCCACAAAAGGUGCCCAGUAAGUGCCACUGUCCCCUCCUGCGGCCCCCAAGCUUCCCCUAUAACAGCCAAGCUUAGAGGGUAGAGUGGCAAAGGGGCCACCUCCAACAGCCCUGUGCCUGGGGAGCAGCCCCGCAGGCCCCGCUGCCUCCCUGACAUGGGGAGCUGGGGGGGUGGGUCAGGCUAGGGGUUCCAGACAGCUGCUUCCUGGUCUCAUGUGUCAGCUGGGCCAUGGAGUACCUUGAGUAACGGGGAGGCCCCACAAUGACGUCUUUCUUUUUUUUUUCUUUUUCACUGCACCGCGCAGCUUAGUUUCCCGGACAGGGAUGGAACCUGGGCCCCCUGCAGUGGAAGCGUGGAGUCCUAACCACUGGACUGCUAGGGAAGUCCCCCCGCACGAUGACUUUUUGAAAAGCACAGCUUUGAGGGCAGACACAGGCCUCUUGCCACCACUGACACUGGCCUCCAGGAGGCAGGGCUCACGUUUCAUCUUCGUAAUAACCUCACUGCUCUAAAUUGCAGCCCCACCCAGGCUUAGCCCAGAGCCUCCCUGCCCUCCAGAGCUUCCUGGCUCCCUGGUUAGGAAACGGCUCAAUGCCAGGACCCAGAGAGCUGGGGAAAUCUCACUCCAAUGGGCUCUGUCAUGGUGCUCCAGGCAGUUGGUAUUUAUAGAGCACCUACUCUGUGCUAGAGACUUUCCUUACCUUUGCUCAAAUAAUUCUUGAGGUGGGCCUACCAUCUCAUGUCACAGGAGAGAAAGCCAAGGCUCAGGGAGAAGCAGCAUCUGGGCUGAACAACAUUGGAGCUGGGGUUCUAUCCCCAGGGGUGAGCGUCCCCCGCAUCCUGCGUCCCCCGGGCAGGGCAGUGGAAGGAGCAUUGGCUUUGCAGCCCUGGAGUUUGGUGGGUGGUGGUGGGGACUCUGGGCUUUGCAGGAGGACAGAUCCAGGCCCAGUCCUGACUCUGCCCUCGUGUUUUUGCACAUUCUGUUCCCUCUGCUCACUAUGCUCUUCCUGGCAGACUCCUCUCUACCCUGGGUCUCUCUUGGCUUAAGUCUCACCCUUUCUGUGAAGCAGGGCAGUGUAGCCAGGGAUCCACAGGCUUGUUUUCAAAUCCUGCCCCCGCCGAGCUUGGAAGGGAGAAGAAUAAGGGACACAGCAUGCAAACAGCGAACAGCACGGGCAGAGGCAAGAGGUUGUGAGUAGGCCCUUGAGAGCCGCAUCAGCCGGGAGGGUGGAGCCAGGCAGAAGGGAGGAGGCCUGGGUUGGGCUGCCCUGUCACCAUUCUGGGCCUUUGCCCAGGCUGCCUUCCCUGCCUGGCCUACCCUUCCCCUUCUGCUGUCCAAGCCGUCAUGCCUUUAAGUCCCUGUGCAGUGGAGUUCCCUGUCCAUCUCUUCCUGAGCCACCCCUCUUCACAUCCUCCUUCCCCAGUGUUCCCACGGCCCCAGGUGCCACCUUGAUGUGAGCAGUCGGUGUCUCAGGUCACGCAGGUUCGUGUCCUGCCUGUGCGUGGUAGGAAGGUCCUUGACUCAAAUCUUGGCUCUGCCCCUCGCCCGUUGGGUGACCAGGGACAAGCUACUUCACUUCUCUGUUUUUUCCUCUGUAGGAUGACAGCAGCUGCCCCCAACUCACAGGGUUCUCUAGGGGAUUAAAUGAGGUUGUGCUUGUAAAGCAGCAAACCACACCGCCUCCGAAAGUCAGCCGGCUGGGACAUACACGUUCGUGCACGUCAUUAUUAGUAUUUGUGAGUCUCUUGAGGGUAGGGCCUUGUGUCUGGUGUCCUGCUCACUGCAAGGCAGAAGCAGGGGGCUUGGCGAUAGCUUCCAGAACAAAUGGGCAGCCUGUCCUCCUGUGCAAAUGUGAGAUCUAAUAAAACUACCAGUAACCUA